CCGUAGCCCAAGAGAUCGGGAUAACACCUGAAAACAGAUGCUAAUACCGGAUAACAACAGAUGAUGCCUAUCAACUGUUUAAAAGAUGGUUCUGCUAUCACUCUUGGAUGGACCUGCGGUGCAUUAGCUAGUUGGUAGGGUAACGGCCUACCAAGGCGAUGAUGCAUAGCCGAGUUGAGAGACUGAUCGGCCACAUUGGGACUGAGACACGGCCCAAACUCCUACGGGAGGCAGCAGCC
rnacentral:rRNA from 1 species